UACGUAGGGUGCAAGCGUUGUCCGGAAUUAUUGGGCGUAAAGAGCUCGUAGGCGGUCUGUCGCGUCUGGUGUGAAAACUCAGGGCUUAACCCUGAGCUUGCAUCGGGUACGGGCAGACUAGAGUGCGGUAGGGGAGAACUGGAAUUCCUGGUGUAGCGGUGAAAUGCGCAGAUAUCAGGAGGAACACCGGUGGCGAAGGCGGGAUCUCUGGGCCGAACU
rnacentral:rRNA from 1 species